AUAUAUUUACUUACACAUAUCAUAUAUGAUCAUGUUUUUUCUAUUUCUAUUUUUUUUCUUUUCGCUGGUCCCAUGUUUGAGGUUCAAGGGGGGGGGGGGGGGGGGGUAAAUCGUCUGUUUGGAAAAUGUAUAUCUUAAACAAGAACGGCAAGAAUGGAAAAACAGCAGACGGAAAGGGUUUCUAUUGUGUGGAACGUGUACUGAACUGGUUCCGGUGUAAAGGUGAAUGGUCUGCUGAGUGCAUGUGAAGCAGGCUGGUCCAGGGGUGUCCACUGGACGAUGUGUUGGAACCCCUCCACCCUGAGCAUGACAUCCACCUGGAGACAGCGUCUGGGCUCCUGAUAUCCAUGAACCACGUCCAAAUAUCAACCCUGACCGCACCGUAUGAUUCUAGCAAUAAUCUGAAAGGAAUUAAGAGGUUUUGGUGGCACUGCAUCUCUCGAACAGUACAGUGCAUACAGUACAGAACAGUCAGUACAGAACAGUACAGAACAGUCAGUACAGUGCAGUACAGAACAGUGCAGAACAGUACAGAACAGUACAGAACAGUCAGUACAGUACAGAACAGUCAGUACAGUGCAGAACAGUGCUGUACAGUACAGAGCAGCCAGUACAAUGAGUGUAUUCCAUUGCUUUUAAAUAUACACUGUAAGUCUACUGAACCGUCUACAGUAACUGAACCAAAAUGAUAUUGCAGUGAAGUCUGGAAAAUCAUCCAAGAGCCCCUGCGGUGUGCGUCAGUGCUAAAGAGGACGGCUUGUAAUGAGUGCCCCACAACCUAGUGGGCACCAAUAUCCUCUCUCUCCUCGUCCUCCGAGGUAUACUUCUAAAGUGCUUAUGAAUGAACCGCGACAACAGAUGAACUGACGUAACCCGUCUGUGCUGUUGGUCACGCUAAGGCGGUCUCCACGAACACAAACAGAGGUCUGCGGGCUCUGGUGGGCUCACCUCUCUAUGAGAGAGUGAGGAGAUGUGGAUCAGUAGUCUGGUGGGUGGACCAUGCUCAGGGUCAGCAGGGGUUCCACGCAGCAUCGCACAGUCCUUCUCUGGGGGGUCUUUGACCUGCAGGGGGGGGAGCAUGUUCUGUUGGGGGGGGGGGGGGGGGGGGGGCCUGGAGCCGUUAUGUGUUAAAAAGGCAGAAAAGAGUGUUGUAAAUAAAGGAAUGUAUUAAAGGACCGAUGUGCUCUGGCUCAUCAUUGUUCGAAGGAGUCUUACAUCCUGCACCCAACACACCACACACUGUUAACACACACAUGCAUCACAGGACACUGGAAACAAUGCAAGGGUUGAGUAUCUGACAAUGGCAUUUCUAAGAAUACAACACAAAUCAGAACAAACAAAAAAGAAAACGUCAAAGUGCUCCAUGACCACGGUUCCAAACAGCAGGAGUAGGGAUAGGAAUCAGCGAGACGAUUUCCCCCUCUCUCAGCUGCAAAGCAUCUAAGGCCUUGAAUGACAUGCAGUCUAAAUAAAACAGAAUCCCGGCGAUUCUAGUGAUGCAUUUUUGAUGAA